rnacentral:rRNA from 1 species
AUUGAACGCUGGCGGAAUGCUUUACACAUGCAAGUCGAACGGCAGCACGGACUUCGGUCUGGUGGCGAGUGGCGAACGGGUGAGUAAUGUAUCGGAACGUGCCCAGUCGUGGGGGAUAACGUAGUGAAAAUUACGCUAAUACCGCAUACGAUCUAUGGAUGAAAGCGGGGGAUCGCAAGACCCCGCGCGAUUGGAGCGGCCGAUAUCCGAUUAGGUAGUUGGUGGGGUAAAGGCCCACCAAGCCAACGAACUGUAGCUGGUCUGAGAGGACGACCAGCCACACUGGAACUGAAACACGGUCCAGACUCCUACGGGAGGCAGGAGUGGGGAAUUUUGGACAAUGGGCGAAAGCCUGGUACAGCCAUUCCGCGUGCAGGAUGAAGGCCCUCGGGUUGUAAACUGCUUUUGUACAGAACGAAAAGGUUUCUACUAAUACUAGGAGCUCAUGACGGUACUGUAAGAAUAAGCACCGGCUAACUACGUGCCAGCAGCCGCGGUAA